rnacentral:miRNA from 1 species
UUUCACAUGUGGGUGAAUUAGAUUCACCCACAUGUGAAUGUGUUAAUUUGUUUCACAUAUGGGUGAAUCUAAUUCACCCACAUGUGAAU